GAUUUGUUAAAAAUAAGCCAUGCUAAACCUUCCUUCUUUUUCUGACAUGUAUAUAAUGCCUGGACCAAGAAAAGUGUGGAAAAGAGAUCGGAGGAGCACA